UACGUAGGGUGCAAGCGUUGUCCGGAAUUAUUGGGCGUAAAGAGCUCGUAGGCGGUUUGUCGCGUCUGCUGUGAAAACGCGAGGCUCAACCUCGCGCCUGCAGUGGGGUACGGGCAGACUAGAGUGCGGUAGGGGAGAUUGGAAUUCCUGGGUGUAGCGGUGGAAUGCGCAGGAUAUCAGGAGGAACACCGAUGCGAAGGCAGAUCUCUGGGCCGUAAC
rnacentral:rRNA from 1 species